GAAGUGCCAAUCAAUUCAUCCAUGUCAGGACGUCUGUGCAACUAUCCAGUGACAUUAAAUGAUAAUGAUAAACAGACUGGUUCACUAUCUGAUGUCCCGUUGUUGUCGACCGCAUUUCAGAGGAUCGGGCCCCUUAAGGAGAGAGCCGAUCCGGUCCUUGAGAGAACGGACCCUGGCGGAGCCAAUAGGAGAAAAUGAGCCGCAAUAUCACCUGGAGCCGAAAUGAAGAAGGUCCGCCAAAGUUGAAGGAAAAUCCGCCAAGGAGUCUUUAUUGAGCGAUUCAGCUGAAUGGACACUAGUAGCGAUCAUUCAAUCUACUAGCGUAACAUACAUUCAAAAUAAAGCCAUA
rnacentral:lncRNA from 11 species